UAGUGGCGAACGGGUGAGUAACACGUGAGUAACCUGCCCCUCACUUCGGGAUAACUCCGGGAAACCGGGGCUAAUACCGGAUAUGAGCUUUUUCCGCAUGGUUGGGGUUGGAAAGAUUUAUCGGUGGGGGAUGGGCUCGCGGCCUAUCAGCUUGUUGGUGGGGUGAUGGCCUACCAAGGCUUCGACGGGUAGCCGGCCUGAGAGGGCGACCGGCCACAUUGGGACUGAGAUACGGCCCAGACUCCUACGGGAGGCAGCAGUGGGGAAUAUUGCACAAUGGGCGAAAGCCUGAUGCAGCGACGCCGCGUGAGGGAUGGAGGCCUUCGGGUUGUAAACCUCUUUCAGCAGGGAAGAAGCGCAAGUGACGGUACCUGCAGAAGAAGCGCCGGCUAACUACGUGCCAGCAGCCGCGGUAAUACGUAGGGCGCAAGCGUUGUCCGGAAUUAUUGGGCGUAAAGAGCUCGUAGGUGGUCUGUCGCGUCUGGUGUGAAAUCCCGAGGCUCAACCUCGGGCUUGCAUCGGGUACGGGCAGACUAGAGUGCGGUAGGGGAGACUGGAAUUCCUGGUGUAGCGGUGGAAUGCGCAGAUAUCAGGAGGAACACCGAUGGCGAAGGCAGGUCUCUGGGCCGCAACUGACGCUGAGGAGCGAAAGCAUGGGGAGCGAACAGGAUUAGAU
rnacentral:rRNA from 1 species